rnacentral:rRNA from 1 species
GCACGGAGUUAGCCKAUGCUUAUUCCUCAGAUACCGUCAUUGUGUUCUUCUCUGAGAAAAGGAGUUUACGACCCACGGGCCUUCCUCCUCCACGCGGUAUUGCUCCGUCAGGCUUUCGCCCAUUGCGGAAAAUUCCUCACUGCUGCCUCCCGUAGGAGUCUGGACCGUGUCUCAGUUCCAGUGUGGCUGAUCAUCCUCUCAGACCAGCUACUGAUCGUCGCCUUGGGAGGCCAUUACCCUCACCAACUAGCUAAUCAGACGCAAGCCUCUCUUUUGGUGGUUUUCACCUUUCGCUCCUCAGCUCUAUGAGGUAUUAGCCGCAGUUUCCCGCGGUUGUCCCUCGCCAAAAGGUAAGUUCUUACGCGUUACGCACCCGUCCGCCACUGCCAUACGAUAGAGUAAACCCCAUCGUAUUUCGUUCGACUUGCAUGUGUUAAGCAUACCGCCAGCGUUCAUC